rnacentral:rRNA from 1 species
AUUGAACGCUGGCGGCAUGCCUAACACAUGCAAGUCGAGCGGAACGGCGGACGGGUGAGGAGUGCUUAGGAAUCUGCCUAUUAGUGGGGGAGAACAUCUCGAAAGGGAUGAUAAUACCGCAUACUAGACGAUGAGCCUAAGUCGGAUUAGCUAGUUGGUGGGGUAAAGGCCUACCAAGGCGACGAACUGUCUCGGGUCUGGGAGGAUGGGCCGCCGAACUGGGACUGAGACACGGCACAGACGCCUCCGGGAGGCAGCAGUGGGGAAUAUUGGACAAUGGGGGGAACCCUGAUCACGCCAUGCCGCGUGUGUGAAGAAGGCCUUAGGGUUGUAAAGCACUUUAAGCGAGGAGGCGGUACUCGCAGAAUAAGCACCGGCUAACUCUGUGCCAGCAGCCGCGGUAAUUC